rnacentral:lncRNA from 1 species
CAGCUAUAAGAACAUCAACAACCUGUACUGGUACAGUUAUACUGAUAACAGACAUCACACUCUAACAUUACCAUCACCACCCAUGAGUAUGACUAUACUACAAGAUGGCAGUCUGUAUGUGGUGUGUUUAGAUGGAUCAGUACAACAUGUAUCAUCUGAUGGUAAACAGUAUAAGACUGUUACAACAAAGGGACUUCAAAAAAUGAAAUAUAUAGCAUACAAUAAAAUGCAAAGACAACUGGUUACAAUGAAUAUGAUUCAAAAUAUAAUCAAUUACUUCUAUGAAAUAUAAUGUAGUCUAUGGUAUACAUUUUCCAUACAACGAUUUAAGGAAUAAUGUAUAGUGUUAAUCAUUAUAUGAACAUAAUAUAUAGACCCUUUACUUCAGGUUAAUGUGAUAAUUGUGACAUCUCAGUUGAUGAUACCAAUUCAAAUGCAU